AUGUCGAUUUGAGGUUGUUCCCUUGAGGAGUGGCUUUCGGAGCUAACGCGUUAAAUCGACCGCCUGGGGAGUACGGCCGCAAGGUUAAAACUCAAAUGAAUUGACGGGGGCCCGCACAAGCGGUGGAGCAUGUGGUUUAAUUCGAUGCAACGCGAAGAACCUUACCUACUCUUGACAUCCAGAGAACUUAGCAGAGAUGCUUUGGUGCCUUCGGGAACUCUGAGACAGGUGCUGCAUGGCUGUCGUCAGCUCGUGUUGUGAAAUGUUGGGUUAAGUCCCGCAACGAGCGCAACCCUUAUCCUUUGUUGCCAGCGAUUCGGUCGGGAACUCAAAGGAGACUGCCGGUGAUAAACCGGAGGAAGGUGGGGAUGACGUCAAGUCAUCAUGGCCCUUACGAGUAGGGCUACACACGUGCUACAAUGGCGUAUACAAAGAGAAGCGACCUCGCGAGAGCAAGCGGAACUCAUAAAGUACGUCGUAGUCCGGAUUGGAGUCUGCAACUCGACUCCAUGAAGUCGGAAUCGCUAGUAAUCGUAGAUCAGAAUGCUACGGUGAAUACGUUCCCGGGCCUUGUACACACCGCCCGUCACACCAUGGGAGUGGGUUGCAAAAGAAGUAGGUAGCUUAACCUUCGGGAGGGCGCUUACCACUUUGUGAUUCAUGACUGGGGUGAAGUCGUAAAGGGGAAACCC
rnacentral:rRNA from 1 species